GCCGAAGUGGUGGAACUGGUAGACACGCUAGACUUAGGAUCUAGUGCCGCAAGGCGUGGAGGUUCAAGUCCUCUCUUCGGUACCA
rnacentral:tRNA from 1 species